rnacentral:miRNA from 1 species
GAGUGCCCAUGUCUCCCAGUGUCCCCAUGUCUCCCAGUGUCCCCAUGUCUCUCAGUGUCCCUGGGAGACAUGGGGACACUGGGAGACAUGGGGCACU